rnacentral:rRNA from 1 species
CCAAUAGCGUAUAUUAAAGUUGUUGCAGUUAAAAAGCUCGUAGUUGAAUUUCGGAAUCAGUACGUUGGUCGUGCCUUCGGUAUGCACUGGCGUCACUGGUUUCUCCCUUCUGACGAACCGUGAUGUCAUUAAUUUGGUGUUGCGGGGAAUCAGGACUGUUACUUUGAAAAAAUUAGAGUGUUUAAAGCAGGCUCACGCUUGAAUACAUUAGCAUGGAAUAAUGAAAUAGGACGUUUGACCCUAUUUUGUUGGUUUCUAGGAUCGACGUAAUGAUUAAUAGGGAUAGUUGGGGGCAUUAGUAUUCAAUUGUCAGAGGUGAAAUUCUUGGAUUUAUUGAAGACUAACUACUGCGAAAGCAUUUGCCAAGGAUGUUUUCAUUAAUCAAGAACGAAAGUUAGGGGAUCGAAGACGAUCAGAUACCGUCGUAGUCUUAACCAUAAACUAUGCCGACUAGGGAUCGGAUGAUGUUAAUUUUAUAAUGACUCAUUCGGCGCCUUACG